rnacentral:rRNA from 1 species
CACCCUUUAAUGUUUGAUGUUCUAACGUUGACCCGUGAUCCGGGUUGCGGACAGUGUCUGGUGGGUAGUUUGACUGGGGCGGUCUCCUCCUAAAGAGUAACGGAGGAGCACGAAGGUUGGCUAAUCCUGGUCGGACAUCAGGAGGUUAGUGCAAUGGCAUAAGCCAGCUUGACUGCGAGCGUGACGGCGCGAGCAGGUGCGAAAGCAGGUCAUAGUGAUCCGGUGGUUCUGAAUGGAAGGGCCAUCGCUCAACGGAUAAAAGGUACUCCGGGGAUAACAGGCUGAUACCGCCCAAGAGUUCAUAUCGACGGCGGUGUUUGGCACCUCGAUGUCGGCUCAUCACAUCCUGGGGCUGAAGUAGGUCCCAAGGGUAUGGCUGUUCGCCAUUUAAAGUGGUACGCGAGCUGGGUUUAGAACGUCGUGAGACAGUUCGGUCCCUAUCUGCCGUGGGCGCUGGAGAACUGAGGGGGGCUGCUCCUAGUACGAGAGGACCGGAGUGGACGCAUCACUGGUGUUCGGGUUGUCAUGCCAAUGGCACUGCCCGGUAGCUAAAUGCGGAAGAGAUAAGUGCUGAAAGCAUCUAAGCACGAAACUUGCCCCGAGAUGAGUUCUCCCUGACCCUUUAAGGGUCCUGAAGGAACGUUGAAGACGACGACGUUGAUAGGCCGGGUGUGUAAGCGCAGCGAUGCGUUGAGCUAACCGGUACUAAUGAACCGUGAGG